rnacentral:rRNA from 1 species
UACGUAGGCAGCGAGCGUUGUUCGGAGUUACUGGGCGUAAAGGGUGUGUAGGCGGUUGUUUAAGUUUGGUGUGAAAUCUCCCGGCUCAACUCGGGAGGGUGCGCCGGAAUACUGAAUGACUUGGAGUGCGGGAGAGGUGAGUGGAAUUCCUGGUGUAGCGGUGAAAUGCGUAGAUAUCAGGAGGAACACCGGUGGUGUAGACGGCUCACUGGACCGUAACUGACGCUGAGACACGAAAGCGUGGGUAGCAAACAGG